rnacentral:rRNA from 1 species
GAUGAACGCUAGCGGCAGGCCUAAUACAUGCAAGUCGAGGGGCAGCGGGGGUAGCAAUACUGCCGGCGACCGGCGCACGGGUGCGUAACACGUAUGCAACCUACCUUAAACUGGGGGAUAGCCCGGGGAAACUCGGAUUAAUACCCCAUAAUACAUUUGGAACACAUGUUUUGAUUGUUAAAGAUUUAUCGGUUUAAGAUGGGCAUGCGUUCGAUUAGCUAGUUGGCGGGGUAAUGGCUCACCAAGGCUACGAUCGAUAGGGGGUCUGAGAGGAUGAUCCCCCACACUGGUACUGAGAUACGGACCAGACUCCUACGGGAGGCAGCAGUAGGGAAUAUUGGUCAAUGGAGGCAACUCUGAACCAGCCAUGCCGCGUGUAGGAAGAAGGCGUUCUGCGUUGUAAACUACUUUUGAUUGGGAACAAAUGACUCUUGCGAGAGUAGCUGAGUGUACCAAU